rnacentral:rRNA from 1 species
AUUGAACGCUGGCGGAAUACUUUACACAUGCAAGUCGAGCGGGAGCACGGGGGCAACCCUGGUGGCGAGCGGCGAACGGGUGAGUAAUACAUCGGAACAUGCCCAGUCGUGGGGGAUAACACUUCGAAAGAAGUGCUAAUACCGCAUACGUCCUGAGGGAGAAAGCGGGGGAUCUUCGGACCUCGCGCGAUUGGAGUGGCCGAUGUCAGAUUAGCUAGUUGGUGGGGUAAAGGCCUACCAAGGCAACGAUCUGUAGCUGGUCUGAGAGGAUGAUCAGCCACACUGGGACUGAGACACGGCCCAGACUCCGACGGGAGGCAGCAGUGGGGAAUUUUGGACAAUGGGGGCAACCCUGAUCCAGCCAUUCCGCGUGAGUGAAGAAGGCCUUCGGGUUGUAAAGCUCUUUCGGCAGGAACGAAACGGCGAGCUCUAACAUAGCUUGCUAAUGACGGUACCUGAAGAAGAAGCACCGGCUAACUACGUGCCAGCCGCCGCCGUAAAAC